GAAGUACUCCCUCCGUCCCAUAAUUCUUGUCGUUGUUUUAGUACAAGAAUUAUUAAUUUGAACUAAAACAACGACAAGAAUUAUGGGACGGAGGGAGUAUUUA
rfam:Brachypodium distachyon strain Bd21 chromosome 5, whole genome shotgun sequence.